rnacentral:rRNA from 1 species
GAUCCUGGCUCAGGAUGAACGCUGACAGAAUGCUUAACACAUGCAAGUCAACUUGAAUUUGGGUUUUUAACUUAGGUUUGGGUGGCGGACGGGUGAGUAACGCGUAAAGAACUUGCCUCACAGUUAGGGACAACAUUUGGAAACGAAUGCUAAUACCUGAUAUUAUGAUAAUAGGGCAUCCCAUAAUUAUGAAAGCUAUAAGCGCUGUGAGAGAGCUUUGCGUCCCAUUAGCUAGUUGGAG